GGCGCCCACGCAGACGGCGGCGGCGGCAGGUAUAAAAGGGGGCGGCGGGCAGUGCGUGACACCGCGGAUCGGCGGCGACACCGGCACCGCGCCCGCUGCUGCGCUCCGCUCCGCACCCCCGAGAGGAAAUCAUGGUUAUGCUGAAGAUUUCAUCUUUCCUUGCUGUUUAUGCCUUGGUUGUGUGCCAGAUGGACAGCUUCCAGGCAGCCCCAGUCAGACCUGGCUUGGAGUCCAUAACGGACCGAGUGACUCUCAGUGAUUACGAAGCUCGGAGGUUACUAAAUGCACUGGUGAAAGAGUUCAUACAGAUGACAGCAGAAGAGCUGGAGCAAGCCUCCGAGGGGAACAGCCUGGAUAAACCCAUUUCCAAACGCUGUGCCAGUCUGAGUACUUGUGUGCUGGGCAAACUGUCUCAAGAAUUGCACAAAUUGCAAACUUACCCUCGCACUGACGUCGGGGCUGGAACUCCUGGCAAGAAACGGAAUGUGCUGAGUGACCUGGAACAUGAACGCUAUGCAAACUAUGGGGAACCCCUAGGAAACAACUAGACAUGCUUGUUUCUCCCCCUCUCCCCUUUUUAACCUGAUGCAUGUGGAUCUAACUUUGAUUGCUAACUUUGCUGUGUUCUUUUGAUUCUGUUUUCGACAGAGAAUGUUUGAGAUGGACCUAAUGUUAGGAAGACCAAGAACAUAACAUGCGUACCAAACUAGGGGAAAAAAAAAUAAAUAAAAAUGAUCAGCACUGCCUUGACAUUCCAAAUGAUUUUCUUAGACACUGAUUAAAAAAAAAAAUCUAAAAAAGGUUCUUCAUUUCUGGCUGCUAUACUUACAAGUAGAUUCUUCCUCUUGUGCUUGCCAUGCACUUGUUCAAUAAACCUAUUUUUCUAUAAGGAUCAGAUCUGCUCAGUUUAAGUUUGUUUUAGAAUGUGAGACUUCUAGAUGAGGCUUGGAAAAUUUUGCAACUUAUCUUAAUGUUCAAGAGAGGCAAUGCUAGUAACUUCUAGAAAAGUUGAAAGAGAGCUUAGAAGUCAAAGUUCUACAUAUAAAUUGAUAUGUACUGCUGUAAUCAGGCAUGCAUGCCAUGCUGUUGAUAGGAACCCUGAGAAUCAAAGAAAUCAGGAAGGCUCAUACAUAUUCUUUCUAAUGAACUAGAAAUGUAAUCCUGUUUAAAACUGGGUACUGAACUUGUGCAGGUAAGAAUUUUGUGAUCUUCUUUUCUUAUUUUACAGUAGGUCUUUGCACUGUAUUUAAAACUUAUGCACCUUUAAAAUAUUUGUGUUGAUUUGCAAUUCACAUACAUUAGGUUGUCUUGCAUUAAUAGCCAAACCCAGAUGUCUUUACAGUUCUGUUGUAGCACUGUACCGAUCUUGUAAUUUGAGGCCUCUUUCAAACACUUGGCAUUGAUUAUAAAAACAACUCUUCAUUGUUAACAUUAAUAGACUGCUUUGUGAUGCUUAGCUGAGAAAAACCCCUCCUACUGCAAGAAAAACUCAUUGCUUUGAUUGAAAAUUCUUCAAGCAAGGAUUGUGUGAAUGCAUAUUAUUUGAAGUUUCCCAUCCAGCACAACUGUCAGCUGUAGUCUGAAUUGUGAGCAGAGAACUAAUAUUUUCAAAGUCUGAACUGCUCCAUGGUUAAGUUCUGCAGUAGACAAAGAUCUAAUUGGAGGAAAGAGAGGUUCUCCCAUUUCCACUGAGUACCUGGAAGCAGUGUCUUUAUGUGUGGUUGAGCUCUGAAGGCAGCUGGUCAGAGUGACUGACAAAGCUCCUGUAGUGAUUAGUGAUUCUGCAAUGCCAUGUGUUUUCUGGCUGUUGGGGAGCACAGGUGUUGGAGUGAGAAGUGAAAAAUCUGUGUCUGCUACAGCCUUUCAGGAACACCACAAGCAAAAUACAAAUGUGAGCUUCUGGAGGAAACAGGGAUUGUUUAAAUUCUCCUGAUCUGAACCUCCUCAGCUCCUUUCCAUGGCCAUAAUGCCUGGCUGGAGGCAGGCAGUAGCCCAGGUGUGCCUGAAAAUCUGGCCUGGAUUUAGUCUUCAGUCCAGCUGCUUUUAUAAAGUGAGCCUGACAAUGAGAAAACCAUAAAGAGGCUUCUUCUAGCAGGUGUAAGCUGUACACAGAAGGUGCAAAAACCCCUUCUGCACAGCCAGCCUACUUUUAGUGCUGCAGAAGUGCCUUUGCUAGUCACAGCGAUGUUUCACUGCGUGCAGGGUUCAUGCUGUGGGAACUAACUCUUCCUUUUCCUCCUGAAAAGCAGUGUAACAGCACAGAAGAGGGCCUGCAACACAGCCACCUGUGUGACCCACCGCCUGGCAGACUUCCUGAGCAGGUCAGGGGCCGUGGGCAAGAACAACUUCGUCCCAACCAACGUGGGCUCCAAGGCCUUCGGCAGGCGAAGAAGAAGCGUGCAGAUAUUGCAAUGAAACUGAAAACUCGACUUUAAUUUCUAAUGGAAGCAACUCUUCUUCAUAAACCAAGACCACCAAAAAGAUUAAUUUUUCAUCCUUCUAUUGAAAAUGUUUUAUUUAAUACAAAUGAAAACACUUCUGUUAUGUAUAGUAAAAGAGAAUCUAGUUAUUAAAGUUAAAUUAUUGUAUAUUCUUUUUAUAUGCAACUCUAUUUCAAAUAAAAUGUGACGGCAUCUAUUAUUUAUUUAUCUUCCAGCUUAUGUGAUCCAUGCUACUUAUCCUGGCCCUACUGCCAAAUCUCGGGGAUUAUACUAAACUGCUGCCUGGCAAGGCAUAUGUGUAUUAUACAGUGUGCUGUGCCUUGAUGUAAAACACUUAACUAUCCUGAUUGUACAGUAUGUUUAAAAAAAAAAAAAAAAGAAAUCACUUCAAUAUUGUAUUAUUUGUGAAUUUACGCAAAAUUAAAAAAAGUAUUUUAGAUA